CAUAACUCGUUGCGGGCUCCGCGCGGUCCCACUUCCCGGCUCCCUUCGCCUCCAGGAUGCGCUGAGCCCUACAACACCCCCAGCGGCCGCCGGCUCCCCCACGAGGUGUGAAUGACAGAGGUGGUGCCAUCCAGCGCGCUCAGCGAGGUCAGCCUGCGCCUCCUCUGCCACGAUGACAUAGACACUGUGAAGCACCUGUGUGGCGACUGGUUCCCCAUCGAGAUGGAGAUAUUCUAGCAUCCAACUUCUCUGUUGACACACAAGUCGCGUACAUCCUAAGUCUGGGCGUCGUGAAAGAGUUCAGGAAGCACGGCAUAGGUUCCCUCUUACUUGAAAGUUUAAAGGAUCACAUAUCAACCACCGCCCAGGACCACUGCAAAGCCAUUUACCUGCAUGUCCUCACCACCAACAACACAGCAAUAAACUUCUAUGAAAACAGAGACUUCAAGCAGCACCACUAUCUCCCCUAUUACUACUCCAUUCGAGGGGUCCUCAAAGAUGGCUUCACCUAUGUCCUCUACAUCAACGGCGGCCACCCUCCCUGGACGAUUUUGGACUACAUCCAGCACCUGGGCUCUGCACUAGCCAGCCUGAGCCCCUGCUCCAUU
rnacentral:lncRNA from 1 species